CGGUAAACAUGGAGGGAUUUUCCUUUGCCUUAAGCCCAGAAUGCAUCUCCUUCUUUGGAUGUCUUAAGUAUCCCACAUUACAGCUGUUCUUCGUUUAUUUAUUUUUAACAGUGAGUAUUUGGCUGUAGUCCAGUGCUUUGGGUGUGAAACAUCAAGCAGAGAGAGAAAAAGCAGAGAGAAUAGGAAACUGUGCCCCACAUACUGCCUUUCCUUCAAGCAGUUCCACAUCUCUUUGCCCUCCUUUUCUCAUAACCAGCGGGUGAAAGGGUAGCUUGUGAUUUGAUGCUGAUGACUGCUGAGCCUUUCUCACGUGUCAGCAUUUAUUUCUUGGAAAAGUGUCUUGUUAGUACUACUACACACUGUUGCAGCAGCCACCAGCACCCAGUUAGUGGUUAUGUGCUUUUGGGACUUCCCAUAGCGCGAGGACUUCACAUAGCAGCUGUGAAAAAGCCUGUGCCUCGUUCAGGAAAUUUAUUUUGAGGAGUCUCUGUCAGCCAAGAAGACGCCAUCUCUCGUUUCCAGAGGGGAAGCCAUUUAUGCUGCAUAUUGAAGCACAGUGACAGAGCAUCAGAUUUAGAAAAAUGAGCGGCUUACUCUAAGCUUUCAUCUCUCGAGUCUGGAUUUGGAUCCCCUUUUGAAGCCGGUAGCGAGACUGCUGUUGAUAUCAAGAGAAACUUCAUCAGAUGUCUCAUGAGCAAAUCCCAUUGAAGGUCACAAAUUUAGUAGGAUAGUUGUGGAUCACCGGAAUGCCAUCAGCCUACCACAAAUGGGCAUUCCUUGACCUGCUUGUGUGAUCUAAAGAGACAAUCUUUGUUCUGUUGCUGUGUUUUUCUGUACAGGAGCAAUGACCAGAAUCAUUAAUAACAGAGACACAUUAUGACUUGUUUGCUGAGAUUUUAUAACAUCAUUCCAAUUUCUAGAGAGCAGAGAAAGCUUCUUAGAGUUCUAAUUCAUUUUUCAGUGUUAAGAGGAAAAAAAAAAAAAGGAUUAUUAAUCAAAGUAUUCUGAAAAUAAUGACAAGCCUGCUAGGAACCUGAAAUACCACUGUGCAUUAUUCCCCAACGUGAUUAUGGGUGGCAAGGUGGGAGGCAGCCUGCAGAAGCUGGCAGAACUACUGCGUCAAGUGCUGUGAAUGGUGUGGUAAAUAAACUUUGAGAGAUUAUGAAUUUGCA
rnacentral:lncRNA from 1 species